UACGAAGGGUGCAAGCGUUACUCGGAAUUACUGGGCGUAAAGCGUGCGUAGGGGGUGAGUUAAGUCUGUCGUGAAAGCCCCGGGCUCAACCUGGGAACUGCAAUGGAAACUGGCGGGCUUGAGUGUGGCAGAGGGGGGUGGAAUUCCGCGUGUAGCAGUGAAAUGCGUAGAGAUGCGGAGGAACACCGAUGGCGAAGGCAGCCCCCUGGGCCAACACUGACGCUCAGGCACGAAAGCGUGGGGAGCAAACAGG
rnacentral:rRNA from 1 species